rnacentral:tRNA from 1 species
GCCCUCUUAGCGCACUGGGCAGCGCGUCAGUCUCAUAAUCUAAAGGUCCUGAGUUCGAGCUCUCAGAGAGGACA